AUUGAACGCUGGCGGCAGGCUUAACACAUGCAAGUCGAGCGAGCGGCGGACGGGUGAGUAAUGUCUGGGCAACUGCCUGAUGGAGGGGGAUAACUACUGGAAACUGUAGCUAAUACCGCAUAGCAUCAGCUGUGCCCAGAUGGGAUUGGCUAGUAGGUGGGGUAAUGGCUCACCUGGGCGACGAUCCCUAGCUGGUCUGAGAGGAUGACCAGCCACACUGGAACUGAGACACGGUCCAGACUCCUACGGGAGGCAGCAGUGGGGAAUAUUGCACAAUGGGCGAAAGCCUGAUGCAGCCAUGCCGCGUGUGUGAAGAAGGUCUUCGGGUUGUAAAGCACUUUCAGCGAGGAGGCGUUACUAGCAGAAGAAGCACCGGCUAACUCCGUGCCAGCAGCCGCGGUAAUUC
rnacentral:rRNA from 1 species